GCCGCCUUAGCUCAGUGGUAGAGCAACGGUAUCGUAAACCGUGGGUCCGGGGUUCAAGUCCCCGAGGCGGCUCCA
rnacentral:tRNA from 2 species